rnacentral:rRNA from 1 species
AGUGAACGCUGGCGGUAGGCCUAACACAUGCAAGUCGAACGGCAGCACAGUAAGAGCUUGCUCUUACGGGUGGCGAGUGGCGGACGGGUGAGGAAUACAUCGGAAUCUACUUUUUCGUGGGGGAUAACGUAGGGAAACUUACGCUAAUACCGCAUACGACCUACGGGUGAAAGCAGGGGAUCUUCGGACCUUGCGCGAUUGAAUGAGCCGAUGUCGGAUUAGCUAGUUGGCGGGGUAAAGGCCCACCAAGGCGACGAUCCGUAGCUGGUCUGAGAGGAUGAUCAGCCACACUGGAACUGAGACGCGGUCCAGACUCCUACGGGAGGCAGCAGUGGGGAAUAUUGGACAAUGGGCGCAAGCCUGAUCCAGCCAUACCGCGUGGGUGAAGAAGGCCUUCGGGUUGUAAAGCCCUUUUGUUGGGAAAGAAAAGCAGCAGGUUAAUACCCCGCUGUUCUGACGGUACCCAAAGAGUAAGCACCGGCUAACUUCGUG